rnacentral:hammerhead_ribozyme from 1 species
AUCCAGCUCACGAGUCCCAAAUAGGACGAAACGCGUGUCCUGGAU